rnacentral:rRNA from 1 species
CCUACGGGAGGCAGCAGUGAGGAAUAUUGGUCAAUGGACGAGAGUCUGAACCAGCCAAGUAGCGUGAAGGAUGACUGCCCUAUGGGUUGUAAACUUCUUUUAUAAAGGAAUAAAACGAGGCACGUGUGCCUUUUUGCAUGUACUUUAUGAAUAAGGAUCGGCUAACUCCGUGCCAGCAGCCGCGGUAAUACGGAGGAUCCGAGCGUUAUCCGGAUUUAUUGGGUUUAAAGGGAGCGUAGAUGGGUUGUUACGUCAGUUGUGAAAGUUUGCGGCUCAACCGUAAAAUUGCAAUUGAUACUGGCAGUCGUGAGUACAGUUGAGGUAGGCGGAAUUCGUGGUGUAGCGGUGAAAUGCUUAGAUAUCACGAAGAACCCCGAUUGCGAAGGCAGCUUACUAAACUGUGACUGACAUUGAUGCUCGAAAGUGUGGGUAUCAAACAGGAUUAGAUACCCGAGUAGUC